rnacentral:rRNA from 1 species
GAUGAACGCUGGCGGCGUGCCUAAUACAUGCAAGUCGAGCGAACGGACGAGAAGCUUGCUUCUCUGAUGUUAGCGGCGGACGGGUGAGUAACACGUGGAUAACCUACCUAUAAGACUGGGAUAACUUCGGGAAACCGGAGCUAAUACCGGAUGAUAUUUUGGACCGCAUGGUUCAAAAGUGAAAGACGGUCUUGCUGUCACUUAUAGAUGGAUCCGCGCUGCAUUAGCUAGUUGGUAAGGUAACGGCUUACCAAGGCAACGAUGCAUAGCCGACCUGAGAGGGUGAUCGGCCACACUGGAACUGAGACACGGUCCAGACUCCUACGGGAGGCAGCAGUAGGGAAUCUUCCGCAAUGGGCGAAAGCCUGACGGAGCAACGCCGCGUGAGUGAUGAAGGUCUUCGGAUCGUAAAACUCUGUUAUUAGGGAAGAACAUAUGUGUAAGUAACUGUGCACAUCUUGACGGUACCUAAUCAGAAAGCCACGGCUAACUACGUG